GUUGUAGCUCAGCAGGAUAGAGCGAUCGCCUCCUAAGCGAUAGGUCGGAGGUUCGAAUCCCCUCAGC
rnacentral:tRNA from 1 species